AUCGCUUCUCGGCCUUUUGGCUAAGAUCAAAGUGUAGUAUCUGUUCUUUUCAGCUUAAAAAAAAAAAAAAAAAAAGUUAAAUGUUUGAAGACGCUAAGCAAGACUUUUA
rnacentral:snRNA from 1 species